UGUAGUCAUAUGCUUGUCUCAAAGAUUAAGCCAUGCAUGUCUAAGUAUAAGCAAUUAUACCGCGAAACUGCGAAUGGCUCAUUAAAUCAGUUAUCGUUUAUUUGAUAGUGCCUUACUACAUGGAUAACCGUGGUAAUUCUAGAGCUAAUACAUGCUAAAAAUCCCGACUUCGGAAGGGAUGUAUUUAUUAGAUUAAAAACCAAUGCCCUUCGGGGCUCCUUGGUGAUUCAUAAUAACUUCUCGAAUCGCAUGGCCUUGCGCUGGCGAUGGUUCAUUCAAAUUUCUGCCCUAUCAACUUUCGACGGCUGGGUAUUGGCCAGCCAUGGUGACAACGGGUAACGGGGAAUG
rnacentral:rRNA from 1 species